rnacentral:snRNA from 1 species
AUCCUUAUGCAUGGGAAAGACGCAUAUCAGUGAGGAUUCGUUCCGAGAUUGUGUUAAUUUUUGCUGGUACUAUUUACAACAAAUAUAAACCAAAAAAAAAUUUAUAAACCCAUACUCCUCAUUGUG